GCGAAGGCAGCGUACCGGCGCCACACUGACGCUGAGGCACGAAAGCGUGGGGAUCGAACAGGAUUAGAUACCCUGGUAGUCCACGCAGUAAACGAUGAAUGCUGGUUGUCCGGGUCGAAUGAGAUCUGGGCGGCGAAGCGAAAGCGAUAAGCAUUCCACCUGGGGAGUACGCCGGCAACGGUGAAACUCAAAGGAAUUGACGGGGGCCCGCACAAGCGGAGGAACAUGUGGUUUAAUUCGAUGAUACGCGAGGAACCUUACCCGGGCUCAAACGGGAGUGGAAUGGACCAGAGACGGUUCAGCCUACGGGCCGCUUCCGAGGUGCUGCAUGGUUGUCGUCAGCUCGUGCCGUGAGGUGUCGGCUUAAGUGCCAUAACGAGCGCAACCCCCGCCGGCAGUUGCUAACGGGCAAUGCCGAGGACUCUGCCGGGACUGCCGCCGCAAGGCGAGAGGAAGGCGGGGAUGACGUCAAAUCAGCACGGCCCUUACGUCCGGGGCGACACACGUGUUACAAUGGGCGGUACAGCGGGAAGCCAGGCGGCGACGCCGAGCGGAACCCGAAAGCCGUUCUCAGUUCGGAUCGGAGUCUGCAACCCGACUCCGUGAAGCUGGAUUCGCUAGUAAUCGCGCAUCAGCCAUGGCGCGGUGAAUACGUUCCCGGGCCUUGUACACACCGCCCGUCAAGCCAUGGGAGCCGGGGGUGCUUGAAGUGCGUCGCCGCGAGGCGCGCCCUAGAGCAAAACCGGUGACUGGGGCUAAGUCGUAACAAGGUAACCGUAA
rnacentral:rRNA from 1 species